rnacentral:tRNA from 1 species
ACCAGCAUAGUAUAGUGGUUUGAGUGCUGGACCACAACUCAGGAGACCAGGGUUCAAUUCCCUGCUUGGUC